rnacentral:rRNA from 1 species
AUUGAACGCUGGCGGCAGGCCUAACACAUGCAAGUCGAGCGAGCGGCGGACGGGUGAGUAAUGUAUGGGGACUGCCCGAUAGAGGGGGACAACUACUGGAAACGGUAGCUAAUACCGCAUACUAUCGGAUAACCCAUAUGGGAUUCGCUAGUAGGUGAGGUAAUGGCUCACCUAGGCGACGAUCCCUCGCUUGUCUGAGAGGAUGUUCAGCCACACUGGGGCUGAGACACGGCCCAGACUCCUACGGAGGCAGCAGUGGGGAAUAUUGCACAGUGGGCGCAAGCCUGCUGCAGCCAUGCCGCGUGUAUGAAUAAGGCCCUAGGGUUGUAAAGUACUUUCAGUCGGGAGGCGGUACCGACAGAAGAAGCACCAGCUAACUCCGUGCCAGCAGCCGCGGUAAUAC